UACGAAGGGGGCUAGCGUUGCUCGGAAUCACUGGGCGUAAAGGGCGCGUAGGCGGCCAAGUAAGUUGGGGGUGAAAGCCCGUGGCUCAACCACGGAAUUGCCUUCGAUACUGCUUGGCUUGAGACCGGAAGAGGUGAGUGGAACUGCGAGUGUAGAGGUGAAAUUCGUAGAUAUUCGCAAGAACACCAGUGGCGAAGGCGGCUCACUGGUCCGGAUCUGACGCUGAGGCGCGAAAGCGUGGGGAGCAAACAGG
rnacentral:rRNA from 1 species